rnacentral:rRNA from 1 species
UGGAAACGACUGCUAAGACUGGAUAGGAAGAUAAAAGGCAUCUUUUAUCUUUUAAAAGACCUAGUAAUAGGUAUGCUUUAGGAGGGGCUUGCGCCAUAUUAGUUAGUUGGUAGGGUAAUGGCCUACCAAGACGAUGAUGUGUAGCUGGACUGAGAGGUUGAACAGCCACAUUGGGACUGAGACACGGCCCAAACUCCUACGGGAGGCAGCAGUAGGGAAUUUUCGGCAAUGGAGGAAACUCUGACCGAGCAACGCCGCGUGAAUGACGAAGUACUUCGGUAUGUAAAGUUCUUUUAUCAAGGAAGAAAAGCAAAUGGCGAACCAUUUGUUUGCCGGUACUUGAUGAAUAAGCCCCGGCUAAUUAUGUGCCAGCAGCCGCGGUAAGACAUAAGGGGCAAGUGUUAUCCGGAAUUAUUGGGCGUAAAGGGUGCGUAGGCGGUCUAGUAAGUCAGUGGUGUAAUGGCAACGCUUAACGUUGUCCGGCUAUUGAAACUGCUAAACUUGAGUUAGAUAGAGGCGAGUGGAAUUCCAUGUGUAGCGGUAAAAUGCGUAAAUAUAUGGAGGAACACCAGAGGCGUAGGCGGCUCGCUGGGUCUUAACUGACGCUGAGGCACGAAAGCGUGGGGAGCAAACAGGAUUAGAUACCCUGGUAGUCCACGCCGUAAACGAUGAGUACUAAGUGUCGGGUUAAACCGGUACUGAAGUUAACACAUUAAGUACUCCGCCUGAGUAGUACGUACGCAAGUAUGAAACUUAAAGGAAUUGACGGGACUCCGCACAAGCGGUGGAUCAUGUUGUUUAAUUCGAAGAUACCCGAAAAACCUUACCAGGUCUUGACAUGUUUUUGCAAAAUGAUAGUAAUAUCGUGGAGGUUACCAGAAACACAGGUGGUGCAUGGUUGUCGUCAGCUCGUGUCGUGAGAUGUUAGGUUAAGUCCUAAAACGAGCGAAACCCUUAUCGUUAGUUGCCAGCACGUUAUGGUGGGGACUUUAACGAGACUGCCAAUGAUAAAUUGGAGGAAGGUGAGGAUCACGUCAAAUCAGCAUGCCCCUUAUGACCUGGGCUACAAACGUGAUACAAUGGCUGUUACAAAGGGUAGCUGAAACGCAAGUUCUUGGCCAAUCCCCAAAAACAGUCCCAGUCCGGAUUGAAGUCUGCAACUCGACUUCAUGAAGUUGGAAUCGCUAGUAAUCGCGAAUCAGCAUGUCGCGGUGAAUACGUUCUCGGGGUUUGUACACACCGCCCGUCA